GCUAAACGCGAAGAACCUUACCAAGGCUUGACAUACACCAGAACACCCUGGAAACAGGGGACUCUUUGGACACUGGUGAACAGGUGGUGCAUGGUUGUCGUCAGCUCGUGUCGUGAGAUGUUGGGUUAAGUCCCGCAACGAGCGCAACCCUCGUUCUAUGUUGCCAGCACGUAUGGUGGGAACUCAUGGGAUACUGCCGGGGUCAACUCGGAGGAAGGUGGGGAUGACGUCAAAUCAUCAUGCCCCUUAUGUCUUGGGCUUCACGCAUGCUACAAUGGCCGGUACAAAGGGCUGCAAUACCGUGAGGUGGAGCGAAUCCCAAAAAGCCGGUCCCAGUUCGGAUUGAGGUCUGCAACUCGACCUCAUGAAGUCGGAGUCGCUAGUAAUCGCAGAUCAGCAACGCUGCGGUGAAUACGUUCCCGGGUCUUGUACACACCG
rnacentral:rRNA from 1 species